rnacentral:rRNA from 1 species
AUGAAGGUCAACAGUUCGCCUACAACGGGCCGUAGGUCAACAGUUCGCCUACAACGGGCCGUAGGUCAACAGUUCGCCUACAACGGCUUCACGGGCGCGAACCUGACGCUCGAUGGCGCGGCCGUAGGUCAACAGUUCGCCUACAACGGCUUCACGGGCGCGAACCUGACGCUCGAUGGCGCGGCCGUUACGUCGAACGGCCUCCUCUUGCUCACCAACGGUACUAUCCCGAUGAAAGGCCAGGCCUUCCACCCGUCUCCCCUGCCGUUCCGCUCAGAGACGAACGGCACCGGCGCCGUGCGAUCCUUCUCCACUAGUUUCGUCUUCGCCAUCUACGGGCCGUACGAGACCCUGAGCAGCCCCGGCAUGGCCUUCUUCAUCUCCGCUUCCACGGAGGUGCUCUCCACUGCGCUGCCAGGCCAGUACUUGGGCCUCCUCAACAGCAGCAACGAUGGCAACCGGACCGCUCGUAUCUUCGCCGUGGAGCUCGACACGAUCCAGAACACCGACUUCCGUGACAUCAACGACAACCACGUCGGCGUCGACGUUGAUAGCCUCGUGUCGCUCGAUUCCACCGACGCCGGGUACUACGAUGACGGCACCUGGCGGUUCCUGAAACUAAGCCUGAUAAGCCGGAAGGCCAUGCAAGUGUGGAUCACGGUGACCAUGGCUCCCCUCGGCGUCGCCAGGCCCAGGAAGACCCUCCUGAAGACCACAGUCGACCUCUCGGGUGUGUUUCAGAGCACGGCGUACGUCGGCUUCUCGUCGGCAACAGGCAUCCUGAAUACACGCCACUUCGUCCUCGGCUGGAGCUUCGCGCUGGAUGGACUAGCACCGGCACUGGACAUCUCGAGGCUGCCAACCUUGCCAUGGGCCUGGCCCAAGCCACGGUCCAUGUCCAUAUCACUGAAGAUAGUUCUGGCCUUAGCAUCGGUGGCGCUGGUUUCCGUUAUAGGUCUCGGAAUCUACAUAUUUGUAAGACGGCGACGUCUCAAGUACUCCGAGGUGCAUGAAGACUGGAAGGUCCCGUUUGGCCCGAACCGAUUCUCUUACAAGGACUUGUUUCAUGCGACCGAGGGGUUCAGUGACAAGAACCUCCUUGGGACGGGAGGUUUCGGAAGUGUCUAUAAGGGAGUGCUUCGCAAGCCUGUUAUGGAGGUCGCCGUAAAGAGAAUGUCACAUGAUUCAAGGCAAGGAGUAAGGGAGUUCAUUGCUGAGAUGGUGAGCAUUGGUCGCCUUCGACACCAAAAUAUCAUGCAAUUGUUCGGCUACUGUAGGCGUAAGGGUGAACUUCUCCUGGUUUAUGAAAAACUAGAUCAUAAUAGCGCGCGUUGCCGCGCCCGUUCAUUUCUACUAUAG